AGACCCGGCGCGCGGAGCUGGGGCGGGGCGGGCUCGGCGCUGUGACCAGGCUCAGCUACAGCUGCAUCGCCAACGGCCGCACCGUGCUCGCCGAGCUCAGCCUGCGGGGGGGCUGCUUCCGGCUUUGUGUACCAUGCUCUGCUAGUUAAUGGAAUUACGUACCUAUGUGCUACAAACAACACCUUAGACAGCACAGGACCAUUUGCCUUUCUUAAAGAGAUUUGCAAAGCUUUCAUUGGUAGCCCCUUGAUAUCGCAAGUGACCUUUGCUCAUCCUUUUGAAUUCAACGCAGAUUUUCAACAGGUGCUGGGUAGGUAA